CCACAUAUAGCUCAUUUGGCAGAGCAACUGUCCUGAAAACAGUAGGUAGCGGGUUCAAAUCCCGCUAUGUAAU
rnacentral:tRNA from 1 species